GCCCGGUUAACUCAAUCGGUAGAGAGUUAGGCUUUUAAUCUAAUGAUCCAGGGUUCGAGCCCCUGCUCGGGUG